GAUGAACGCUGGCGGCGUGCUUAACACAUGCAAGUCGAACGAUGAAGCCCAGCUUGCUGGGUGGAUUAGUGGCGAACGGGUGAGUAACACGUGAGUAACCUGCCCUUAACUCUGGGAUAAGCCUGGGAAACUGGGUCUAAUACCGGAUAGGAGCGUCCACCGCAUGGUGGGUGUUGGAAAGAUUUAUCGGUUUUGGAUGGACUCGCGGCCUAUCAGCUUGUUGGUGAGGUAAUGGCUCACCAAGGCGACGACGGGUAGCCGGCCUGAGAGGGUGACCGGCCACACUGGGACUGAGACACGGCCCAGACUCCUACGGGAGGCAGCAGUGGGGAAUAUUGCACAAUGGGCGGAAGCCUGAUGCAGCGACGCCGCGUGAGGGAUGACGGCCUUCGGGUUGUAAACCUCUUUCAGUAGGGAAGAAGCGAAAGUGACGGUACCGGCAGAAGAAGCACCGGCUAACUACGUG
rnacentral:rRNA from 1 species